rnacentral:rRNA from 1 species
CCUACGGGUGGCAGCAGUGGGGAAUAUUGCACAAUGGGGGAAACCCUGAUGCAGCGACGCCGCGUGAGUGAAGAAGUAUUUCGGUACGUAAAGCUCUAUCAGCAGGGAAGAAAAUGACGGUACCUGACUAAGAAGCCCCGGGUCACUACGUGCCAGCUGCCGCGGCAAGACGUAGGGGGCAAGCGUUAUCCGGAUUUACUGGGUGUUAAGGGAGCGUAGGCGGUAUGUCAAGUCAAGGGUGAAAUCCCCGCGCUCAACGUGGGAACUGCCUUUGAAACUGGCAAACUGGAGUGUGUGAGAGGAUAGUGGAAUUCCAGGUGUAGGAGUGAAAUCCGUAGAUAUCUGGAGGAACAUCAGUGGCGAAGGCGACUAUCUGGCACAUAACUGACGCUGAGGAGCGAAAGCGUGGGUAGCAAACAGGAUUAGAUACCCGUGUAGUC